rnacentral:rRNA from 1 species
UACGUAGGUGGCAAGCGUUGUCCGGAUUUACUGGGCGUAAAGAGCGCGCAGGCGGUCGUUCAAGUCGAGUGUGAAAGCCCCCCGGCUCAACUGGGGAGGGUCACUCGAUACUGAUCGACUCGAAGGCAGAAGAGGGAAGCGGAAUUCCCGGUGUAGUGGUGAAAUGCGUAGAUAUCGGGAGGAACACCAGUGGCGAAGGCGGCUUCUGGUCUGCUCUUGACGCUGAGGCGCGAAAGCUAGGGUAGCAAACGGG